rnacentral:rRNA from 1 species
UACGAAGGGUGCAAGCGUUAAUCGGAAUUACUGGGCGUAAAGGGUGCGUAGGCGGUUGUUUAAGUCUGUCGUGAAAGCCCCGGGCUCAACCUGGGAACUGCGUUUGGUACUGGCAAGCUAGAGUACGGCAGAGGGGGGUGGAAUUCCACGUGUAGCAGUGAAAUGCGUAGAGAUGUGGAGGAACACCGAUGGCGAAGGCAGCCCCCUGGGCCGAUACUGACGCUCAGGCACGAAAGCGUGGGGAGCAAACAGG